rnacentral:lncRNA from 1 species
ACACUGGGAGGGGUUCCGAACGGCAUGCGGAGUAGUUACCGUGGUCUGAAAUGGGCGUGGAUUUCACGUACUGAUAAGACAAACGUUUGCCGGGUAUCCGUAACAUGAGAGACAUUAUUCAUAAAGACACGGUUCGUCAUACAAGAAUGGCCAUAUUCAACACAUCUAUUUCCAUGAAGCGUGAAAUUUCUUUGUCGUCUUCUGUCAGAAGAAAAAUGAGAAAUAGGACUAUAACGAUAUGUGCAGCGAUGGUUGUGCCAUAUUUAACGGACUUUUUACUGCCUGGUACCACAUGCGGUGCCGGCCACGCGCAACCUUUUCAGCCACCUGGAACAAUAAAGAGGCCACGAUCAAGAAAACGUUGAAGUCAUAUAAGUGUACAUUUGGACGGAGAGUGGUCUUGAAUUACUUUUACAGAAGCACGCUAAUGCACUUCUUGUCAUAGCACACAAUUUACUGUCUCUUUAAGGAAAGUGCACACCUUCUGAACUGGGGUUUAUGCGGUAUUAUUAAGGCCCAUAUCACAGGUGUUCACUCUUUAAUGCCAAACAGGUAAUAUGUAAAAAUACACAUUAAAGGUAGUGAAGAGUAAACAGUUGACAUUAAUACUUCCCUGCCACAUUAAAUAUGAUUUGUUUUGGUCAGCGUCUGGUGUAACUGCUAACGUCGUUAUAUGGAUAUCAGGAACAGGAAUAGUGUACGAAUCUUGGUAUUUAAAACAACACCGAUCUUAUUCUUGUCUAUUUUUCGAAAUGUUUAAAUCAAUUAUACUUUCAUCUUUUAGUUCAGCGAUUCUGUUUUACCCAAAACAUAAACAUUAUUUUUUGUUAGAUGAUUUUGCUUAAGCGGUUCUAACUUUAAAUAAAAACAACAUCAUGAUAACGCAAAUUGAAAUCAGCUAUCAUCUUUACAAAUUCCUCCAUAACACUGUCUGAAUGAUACAAACUCACAAAUCAUUUGAAUCUAAUUUAUUUCAAUAACACAGCCACUAAUUAUUUUUUUUAAAUAUAAGAAGAAAUAAAUUAAGUUCUCGAACAAAACGUUUUAAAUCUUAUCAUUAUAACGUGGUAUUAACAUGAUUUCCUAAAUGUACCAUAUACAUUAUUUUUAAGAAAGAUGUUCUUUUAAUUAUCAGGUGUUUCCAACAAACCUUUAAAUCCAUUAAUUAGUAACGAACUAUAGUAAGAUAUGAUUUAAAUAACUUAAACUUUUUAUUUAACAUUGUGAUUACUCUGUUAGUAGUACUUAUUUGAAUUAUACAUAUUGAAACCCGUUUGCCAAUGUUUUCGUUGUUCUAUAAAUAUAUUGAUAAACUCAUCUGUGUUUCAAACAUGUUUUCUAUGUGCAUUGUUCAAAAUGAAUCUUAAUGGCGUUAGAUUUGUCAGUGUCACUUAGAAAACAUGAAUUUUUGACGAUUUUGUUUGCCUUGGAAAUGUGUUCAAUACAAAAUUGUUGUCAUAACGGUGUCAUGAUAUAAAUGACGAGAACUGACAAUACAUUUGUAAAAGAAAAAUCAGAAUGUGUAAUUGUUGGAAGCUACUGUGGAAAUAAAUGUUUGUGUAUUAUCGCUAAGAUAUUUGAAUUUUGUAUUUGAAGUUUGUUUAGGCAUUGCAUAAAUUACACAAUGGGUUUUUUUCCCCCAAAUAUUGUAUAUUGUAUUUGUGACUACCUGUUGCUUUUUAUAUGCCUCAGGUUUUUAUGUGAUAAUCCUUUAUGUAAUAAAUGCAGUAUUUAAAUGUAUGUGACACUUUGAAAACAUCAAUAUAUCAAACUUGGUUAAUUUUGUUAAGUCCCUCUGAUCUGUUGGUGAGCAUCAGCCAAAGGCCGUGGGGACAAAACCAGUUUUAUUUUUCAUCAACAGAAAAAAACCACGAAAGGACAGAUAGACAAUUUAUUUACCUACAGUGAAUACAGAAUACUCUUAACCGUAGCCUUGCUAAACAAUACGGCAUGUUAAAAUUAGAUAAUGGUGAUACGUAUUUUGCUCCUGUUCGUGAUCCCUGCUGGGUUACAUUGAUCGAUAAAUCUAUCAAUCUUACGUAAAAGUUUUCAUUAUUUUUUAGUAAACAACGAGAAAUAUCUCGGCAUGCAACCUUACUACGUACUUACAAAACACUUUUGAAUGUUAUACUCAUGUGAUUUCCAUAUAAAUAUCAAUACAUUUGUCUUUAAUAUGACAUGUUAUAAUAAAAACGUAAUUUGCAUGAAUUUGAAUUUUUAUAAAGUGUAACCUAUAUAUAACUGACUGCACACUAAUAGAAACGCACCGUUUAAUGUUUUCAAAUUUGAAAUUGUAUUCGAAAGCCGUUUCAUUAAAUAUCAAAACCGUCCAUUUUCGACGUAUCUAUAAGCAAUUUAUACUUAAACAAAUAUCAAGAAAUGUCAAAAUCGUUCUCGUUUGCAUAAUCUAUAUACUUUUCCCAAAUAAUAAAAAAAAACAUGAAGAUUCUGUGCAUGUUAUAAAAGAUAACAUUUCAAGACUCUUUUAUUUAUUAUUUUAGGUAUGUUUUACCUACGAUAACCUUCUCAUACUAUUUGAAUAUAUAUAUCAUUUACAAA